GUGGCCUUCGCUAGAGGUCGUGAAGUCAUCGUAGUGAUUGCUCCAUAUACUUGGCGACAUGGAAACCUCGGUUCUGAUGGCCGCUGGAUUCUCCCAACCAAAUCUAUCCAUGCAACCUCGAUUCCUCGAUUGGUCUCAGGAACUCAGAAGAGUGUGCGGGCAAAGACCGAACGAUGUCGUCGCCGCUGUCUUCUGCCCACUGUUUCUACGAUGUCGUCGUUCAUCACUCGUGAAGACAUUAACUGCACGGAAGCCAGCUAAAGCAGCUUCUGCUAACGUCACUUGUGGCACAGGCGAACUUGCUGACUAUAUACAACAAGACAAGGCAUUAAAACCCCGUAACCUCCCAAUAAUGUCCACCAGAUCACAUGUCGAAGCCGGCCAUCCCCGAAGAAGCACCGGGGCAGAGAUAAAAAGAAGAAGAUGCAUAUGGCGUACCGCUGUGUUAUGUUAUCUUCUGGGGUAGGCAUGACGAGCUCAUCUCCUGCAAAGAAAGCUUAUAAGUGAGUAGGGCAGUGAGAUGGUCUUUGAUAAGAGUUGUCUAGAGGUUCUCUUUCACCUUUGUGUUUUGGGAGUUUGGUGGUAAAUUGAUGUGAUUUGCCUUGUUGAUGCUUCUA